rnacentral:rRNA from 1 species
UCUACGGGGGGCAGCAGUGGGGAAUAUUGGACAAUGGGCGAAAGCCUGAUCCAGCCAUGCCGCGUGUGUGAAGAAGGCCUUCGGGUUGUAAAGCACUUUCAGUGGGGAAGAAAGCCUUGGGGCUAAUACCCUCGAGGAAGGACAUCACCCACAGAAGAAGCACCGGCUAACUCCGUGCCAGCAGCCGCGGUAAUACGGAGGGUGCGCGCGUUAAUCGGAAUUACUGGGCGUAAAGCGCGCGUAGGCGGUCUGAUAAGCCGGUUGUGAAAGCCCCGGGCUCAACCUGGGAACGGCAUCCGGAACUGUCAGGCUAGAGUGCAGGAGAGGAAGGUAGAAUUCCCGGUGUAGCGGUGAAAUGCGUAGAGAUCGGGAGGAAUACCAGUGGCGAAGGCGGCCUUCUGGACUGACACUGACGCUGAGGUGCGAAAGCGUGGGUAGCAAACAGGAUUAGAUACCCGGGUAGUC